GAUGAACGCUGGCGGCGUGCCUAAUACAUGCAAGUCGAGCGAAUGGAUUAAGAGCUUGCUCUUAUGAAGUUAGCGGCGGACGGGUGAGUAACACGUGGGUAACCUGCCCAUAAGACUGGGAUAACUCCGGGAAACCGGGGCUAAUACCGGAUAACAUUUUGAACCGCAUGGUUCGAAAUUGAAUGGCGGCUUCGGCUGUCACUUAUGGAUGGACCCGCGUCGCAUUAGCUAGUUGGUGAGGUAACGGCACACCAAGGCAACGAUGCGUAGCCGACCUGAGAGGGUGAUCGGCCACACUGGGACUGAGACACGGCCCAGACUCCUACGGGAGGCAGCAGUAGGGAAUCUUCCGCAAUGGACGAAAGUCUGACGGAGCAACGCCGCGUGAGUGAUGAAGGCUUUCGGGUCGUAAAACUCUGUUGUUAGGGAAGAACAAGUGCUAGUUGAAUAAGCUGGCACCUUGACGGUACCUAACCAGAAAGCCAUGGCUAACUACGUGCCAGCAGCCGCCGUAA
rnacentral:rRNA from 1 species